rnacentral:misc_RNA from 1 species
AAGUCGUAACAAGGUUUCCGUAGGUGAACCUGCGGAAGGAUCAUUACAAAUAAAGCUGGUAGGAAGUGGGGUCUUGAUCUGUAAGUGGUAGAGCGAACAGUCCGGCUGCCUCCCGAAAUGUCUUACAUGCCCCCACCACGCAUGCAGGCAUGAAUUCAACCACUGAUUAUCUACACUUGUUGCUUUGGGGAUGCUCAAGUGCCCCAGAGGACCCAACUCUCUUGCAUUUAGUGACGUCUGAGUACUAUAUAAUAUUUGAAAAG